rnacentral:rRNA from 1 species
UACGUAGGGACCAAGCGUUGUUCGGAUUUACUGGGCGUAAAGGGCGCGUAGGCGGCUUAACAAGUCACUUGUGAAAUCUCCGGGCUUAACUCGGAACGGCCAAGUGAAACUGUCAAGCUAGAGUGCAGAAGGGGCAAUCGGAAUUCUUGGUGUAGCGGUGAAAUGCGUAGAUAUUCGCAAGAACACCCAGUGGCGAAGGGCGGACUCACUGGCCCGGCUACGCGGU